rnacentral:rRNA from 1 species
AGUGAACGCUGGCGGUAGGCCUAACACGUGCAAGUCGAACGGCAGCACAGUAAGAGCUUGCUCUUACGGGUGGCGAGUGGCGGACGGGUGAGGAAUACAUCGGAAUCUACUUUUUCGUGGGGGAUAACGUAGGGAAACUUACGCUAAUACCGCAUACGACCUACGGGUGAAAGCAGGGGAUCUUCGGACCUUGCGCGAUUGAAUGAGCCGAUGUCGGAUUAGCUAGUUGGCGGGGUAAAGGCCCACCAAGGCGACGAUCCGUAGCUGGUCUGAGAGGAUGAUCAGCCACACUGGGACUGAGACACGGUCCAGACUCCUACGGGAGGCAGCAGUGGGGAAUAUUGGACAAUGGGCGCAAGCCUGAUCCAGCCAUACCGCGUGGGUGAAGAAGGCCUUCGGGUUGUAAAGCCCUUUUGUUGGGAAAGAAAAGCAGCAGGUUAAUACCCCGCUGUUCUGACGGUACCCAAAGAAUAAGCACCGGCUAACUUCGUG